AACGUACGCUGGCGGCACGCCUAACACAUGCAAGUCGAACGAAGUAGCAAUACUUAGUGGCAGACGGGUGAGUAACAUGUAGGUAUCUGCCCUUUGGCCUGGAAUAACACGAGGAAACUUGUGCUAAUACCGGAUAAGUCUUUACGGAGAAAGCUUUAUGCACCAUUGGAUGAGCCUGCACUUGAUUAGUUUGUUGGUGGGGUAAUGGCCUACCAAGACUGUGAUCAAUAGCUGAUUUGAGAGGAUGAUCAGCCACAUUGGGACUGAGACACGGCCCAAACUCCUACGGGAGGCAGCAGUGGGGAAUCUUGCACAAUGGAGGAAACUCUGAUGCAGCGAUGCCGCGUGAGUGAAGAAGGCCCUUGGGUUGUAAAGCUCUUUCGUCGGGGAAGAAAAUGACUGUACCCGAAUAAGAAGGUCCGGCUAACUUCGUGCCAGCAGCCGCGGUAAUACGAAGGGACCUAGCGUAGUUCGGAAUUACUGGGCUUAAAGAGUUCGUAGGUGGUUGAAAUAGUUGGUGGUGAAAUCCCAGAGCUUAACUCUGGAACUGCCAUCAAAACUUUUCAGCUAGAGUAUGAUAGAGGAAAGCAGAAUUUCUAGUGUAGAGGUGAAAUUCGUAGAUAUUAGAAAGAAUACCAAUUGCGAAGGCAGCUUUCUGGAUCAUUACUGACACUGAGGAACGAAAGCAUGGGUAGCGAAGAGGAUUAGAUACCCUCGUAGUCCAUGCCGUAAACGAUGUGUGUUAGACGUUGGAAAUUUAUUUUCAGUGUCGCAGGGAAACCGAUAAACACACCGCCUGGGGAGUACGACCGCAAGGUUAAAACUCAAAUGAAUUGACGGGGACCCGCACAAGUAGUGGAGCAUGUGGUUUAAUUCGAAGAUACGCGCAGAACCUUACCAACACUUGACAUGUUCGUCGCGACUCUAAGAGAUUAGAGUUUUCGGUUCGGCCGGACGAAACACAGGUGCUGCAUGGCUGUCGUCAGCUCGUGUCGUGAGAUGUUGGGUUAAGUCCCGCAGCGAGCGCAACCCUCGCUUUUAGUUGCCAUCAUUAAGUUGGGCACUCUGAAAGAACUGCCAGUGAUAAGCUGGAGGAAGGUGGGGAUGACGUCAAGUCCUCAUGGCCCUUACGUGUUGGGCUACACACGUGCUACAAUGGUAUCUACAACAGGAAGCAAGACUGCGAAGUUAAGCAAAUCCCUAAAAGAUACCUCAGUUCGGAUUGCACUCUGCAACUCGAGUGCAUGAAGCUGGAAUUACUAGUAAUCGUGGAUCAGCGUGCCACGGUGAAUGCGUUCCCGGGUCU
rnacentral:rRNA from 1 species